GAUGAACGCUGGCGGCGUGCUUAACACAUGCAAGUCGAACGAAGCGACUAUGAUUGAGAUUUCGGUUGAUUGAAUAGUUGACUUAGUGGCGGACGGGUGAGUAACGCGUGGGUAACCUGCCUCGUACAGGGGGAUAACAGUUAGAAAUGACUGCUAAUACCGCAUAACCCGCUAGGGUCGCAUGACCCAGACGGAAAAGAUUUAUCGGUACGAGAUGGACCCGCGUCUGAUUAGCUAGUUGGUGAGGUAACGGCCCACCAAGGCGACGAUCAGUAGCCGGCCUGAGAGGGUGACCGGCCACAUUGGGACUGAGACACGGCCCAAACUCCUACGGGAGGCAGCAGUGGGGAAUAUUGCACAAUGGGGGAAACCCUGAUGCAGCAACGCCGCGUGAGUGAAGAAGUAUUUCGGUAUGUAAAGCUCUAUCAGCAGGGAAGAAAAUGACGGUACCUGACUAAGAAGCACCGGCUAAAUACGUG
rnacentral:rRNA from 1 species